rnacentral:SRP_RNA from 1 species
GCCGGGCAUGGUGGCGCAUGCCUGUAAUCCCAGCUACUCAGGAGGCUGAGGUGGAAGAAUCGCUUGAACCCAGCGAACAGUGGUUGCAGUGAGCUGAGAUUGUGCCACCGCACUCCAGCCUGGGCAACAGAGCGAGACUCCAUCUCAA